AAGGAUUUAAGUUAAAUAAACUCGUAGCCUUCAAAGCUUCAAAUAAGAACCCAUAUUCUUAAGCCUUA
rnacentral:tRNA from 1 species